GGGCGAGUAGCUUAGUGGCUAAAGCAGCACGUUUACACCGUGCCUACCGGGGGUUCGAGUCCCUCCUUGCCCAUCA
rnacentral:tRNA from 1 species